CAAUAGCGUAUAUUUAAGUUGUUGCAGUUAAAAAGCUCGUAGUUGGAUUUCGGGUGGGACGCAGCGGUCUCGCAUUGCGUUUGUACUGCUGCAGCCCUCCUUCUUGCCGGGGGCGGCCUCUCGGACUUCACUGUCUGGGGGUCAGAAUCGGCGAUGUUACUUUGAGUAAAUUAGAGUGUUCAAAGCAAGCUUACGCUCUGAAUAUAAUAGCAUGGGAUAACACGACAGGACUCUGGCCUAUCGUGUUGGUCUAUAGGACCAGAGUAAUGAUUAAGAGGGACAGUCGGGGGCAUUCGUAUUCCGUUGUCAGAGGUGAAAUUCUUGGAUUUACGGAAGACGAACAUCUGCGAAAGCAUUUGCCAAGGAUGUUUNCAUUGG
rnacentral:rRNA from 1 species